CAUUCACGGAGAGUUUGAUCCUGGCUCAGGACGAACGCUGGCGGCGUGCUUAACACAUGCAAGUCGAACGAUGAAACCGCUUCGGUGGUGGAUUAGUGGCGAACGGGUGAGUAACACGUGGGCAAUCUGCCCUUCACUCUGGGACAAGCCCUGGAAACGGGGUCUAAUACCGGAUAACACUCUGUCCCGCAUGGGACGGGGUUGAAAGCUCCGGCGGUGAAGGAUGAGCCCGCGGCCUAUCAGCUUGUUGGUGGGGUAAUGGCCUACCAAGGCGACGACGGGUAGCCGGCCUGAGAGGGCGACCGGCCACACUGGGACUGAGACACGGCCCAGACUCCUACGGGAGGCAGCAGUGGGGAAUAUUGCACAAUGGGCG
rnacentral:rRNA from 1 species